CCCUGCCCUCCCCUUCCACAGUCCCGUGGGAAGCCAGAGGGCACAGGGCCGGCCCUGCUGCAGACCUCAGCGUUCAGCCUGCUUGGCCACCUGGGGCAGAGAGCAGGGGCAAAGUCAGAGAUGGGGCCCGGAGGGCAUGUGGAGAAAACUCAGCCCAGGAGGGAAUGGCUCGAAGAACUAAGACCGGAAACGGGUUGUCUGUGGGGAGAACUGGGGGAGGGAGCAUGGUGGGUAGGGGACUGUGCUUCUCAGUGGCACCCUACAGGGGCUGUUUUAAUAAAAAAUUCAGUAACAACCAAAACAAAACCACCCCACCACUCACUUCUCUUUUACUCAGAAACUGGCUCCAUUUGUGUAGUUUUAUGACUUCUUAGAGUUGGAACAGGAAAAAUACAGCAUUCUUGGUCAUUCUCACUAAUGUCCUGGGGGGUGUUCCCUUCUCUUGCAGCCCCCCAAGGUGCGGGGGUGCCUCAGCACCACAGUGUUCUGUUCAAGUUCUUACAGGCCACAGAGGACGCCCGGCUGAGAAAGGGUUCAGAGGAGCCUAGCUAGAGUUUGGCCAAAAGAGGGCCUUUGUCACCGCCUAGCAUCAGUGUAUCAUAGUCGUGAACAGCCAGGAGGGACCUCCGUUCACAGCCCCCCACUUUCCAGCUGAGUGACCCCGGGAAAACCUCAUAAUCUUCCAUGUUAGCUUCCUAGGGCUUCUGUCCAAGGACCACAAACCAGGUGGCUUCAAGCAACAGAUAUAUAUUCUCUCACAGUGAUGGACGCCAGAAUCUGAAAUCAAGCCUGUUCCUGUUUGCCCUAGGGCUUGGCGAGGCCUCUCCUGAGAGCUCCUUCAAUGCGAAAGCCAGUGUUCUGGGAGGUUCACAGCUUUUCUCUCCUCCCAGCCUGGGACUGGGCUCCAAGCCGAUGCUACCACUUCCCGCUGGGUGAGCUCCCUAUGGCUCAGGGCUUCUGUCACAAAAGUGGGAAUGAAAACACUUCCCUCACAGGGUGGGGUUGAAAAUGAUACCGUCCUGUAUCCAUGAAACUGCCUGGUGCAGGCUGGGCCACAGCAGGCAGUGGCCGAUGUGUUCGAGAUGGAUCUUUGCACAGACAAAGGACCCCAGGACUUUUCCAGUUCAGAAACCUUGAAGCUCCUAAAUCCCAAACUGCAGCUGUCCGCAGGCCCAGUGAACCUCGCUUCUCCCAGCAAGAGCUGGUCAGCAAGAGCUAUCUCCAGCCUCGCUUGUUAAACUAUUCGACUUGUUAAAAAAAUUAUGCAAGUAUUAUAUGAAACACAUUCUCUCUGUAAGAAAAUAAAGCACUACAGAAGCAUAUAAAAUCUAGAGUAAGAAAUCCCUUUCCUGGCUGGGUGCAGUGGCUCACGCCUGUAAUCCCAGCACUUUGGGAGGCCAAAGUGGGUGGAUCACCUGACAUCAGGAAUUCCAGACCAGUCUAGCCAACAUGGCAAAACCCUGUCUCUGCUAAAAAUACAAAAAAAUUAGCCGGGCGUGGUGGUGUGUGCCUAUAGUCCCAGUUAC
rnacentral:lncRNA from 10 species